rnacentral:rRNA from 1 species
AUGCGAAGGAGGGCUACAACUGAUAAGAACGUAUGCAGAGAUGUCGGUUACCAUAUUCUUGUUGGAGCUGACAUUCUGAGUGAUGAACAUUAUUCAACUAUCAAAAAGCGUUAUACAUGUUGGCAGAAUCCAAUCCCCAAUUGGAUGCUCACGGACUGGCAUAUGCUUGAGAUAAAUACCAACAAUAAUGUCGUUCUAGCAGUUUCAGAUGAGAACCAUACACCGUGGAGGUUCGCAGUUGUCCAUUAUACUCUGCUCGUACCUCAUUCCAUUGUUGCUCAUGGAGGGACUGUAUUACAUACCCAGCACUUGGGUCACCCAGCUCGCACGGAUUAUUCAACAUAUAUAUGUGCAACAUGUCAGCAUCUUGGUACACGCAUCCCACUAAGCAUGCUGUUGUGCUAA